GACGAACGCUGGCGGCGUGCCUAACACAUGCAAGUCGAGCGAAGGCAUGAGUGUAGCAAUACACUUAUGUACUUAGCGGCGGACGGGUGAGUAACACGUGGAUAAUCUGCCCUGGGGACCGGGACAACUCUUGGAAACGGGAGCUAAUACCGGAUGUGACCACGAUGCUUGAGGGCAUUGGGGUAAAAGGGCGGCCUGCAAGGGCUGUUGCCUUGGGAUGAGUUCACGACCCAUCAGGUAGUUGGGGGGUAGGA
rnacentral:rRNA from 1 species